GAGGGUAUAGUGCAAGUGGUAGAUUGCAUGCUUAGCAUGCAUGAGGUCCUGGGUUCAAUCCCCAGUACUCCA
rnacentral:tRNA from 1 species